rnacentral:rRNA from 1 species
CCUACGGGAGGCAGCAGUAGGGAAUCUUUCACAAUGGGCGAAAGCCUGAUGGAGCAACGCCGCGUGCAGGAUGAAGGCCUUCGGGUUGUAAACCGCUUUUAUAAGCGAGAAAUAUGAUGGUACUUUAUGAGUAAGCACCGGCUAACUACGUGCCAGCAGCCGCGGUCAUACGUAGGAUCCGAGCAUUAUCCGGAGUGACUGGGGGUAAAGAGUGGCGUAGUGGGUCUAUUAAGUAGCUGUGGAAAUCUGGUGGGGCAACACUGCAGACUGUUAGCGAAACUGUAAAGCUCGAGUGCGUGAGAGGAAAGUGGAAUUUCUAGUGUAGGGGUGAAAUGCGUAGAUAUUAGAAGGAACACCAGUUGCGAAGGCAGGUUACUGGGACGGAACUGACACUGAGGCACGAAAGCGUAGGGAGCAAACAGGAUUAGAUACCCGAGUAGUC